AUCAGGCUCUCUUCGAUGAUUUAAGAAAUGUUAAAGAUCUUUUUUACAACCUGAGGGGCCUAUUUCUUUUUAACAGGACAUUGUUACUAACCUGUCAAAACGAAGCGAUACUUUAUAAAAAACAUUCAUUUGAUAUUUGAUUGAAAUACACCAUUACGGUUUCAUUAGCUCAUCGAUUUCGCAGUAAUCUCAUAUCAGAGACCAUCAAGCAAGUUACAUGCAAUAACCUGGGGCUAAAUGUUAAAAUAUGAUCCAGACUAGCUAAUGACCCUAUUACAAUCGACCCAGGAAGCUGAGAAAGAGAUUCUCCAGGUUCUGCGGUGCCUCAUGCAGGCUGCCCUCUGCUGUAUCAUCAUCCUUACUAUUACAAACCGGCACGUAAUUCAUCCAACCAACACAACUAAUAAUGUAGCAAAUGAAAAAGGGAAGAUGGAAGGGGGAAAGACCUCCAUGUCUCUCAGAUUUGUUUUCUUUUCCUCUCAUUGUCUGCCUCUUUCUUCAGAUCUAUGAUGUAAGAGCAACAGGACAUGACUUGGCGACAUAUAGACGAGAGGCUAUUGAGUUUCUAGACUACUUGUGCUGUAACCCGGGCAAUGAGACAGAGAGCAACUCUCAGCAGUUCAGCUGGAAUCCUAAACACAUUGCAAAGAUUUGCUGUCAUACUUGGGGAAAAUGAAUUAUGUUGACAUAUGGCUGAAAACAAUGGUGGAAAGGCAUGCAAUGUAAGGCAAUGAAGAAUCAUUCGGUGUUGUGGAGGAGAGGAUCUGGAGCUGUUCCUUUGAGCCCUCUAUGACAGGUAUACAGAGCCACCUGACAGCACAGUAUUUCAGUGAUAAAUGCAGUGGGUCUGGGACUUCCAUUCACUAAACUCAG